rnacentral:rRNA from 1 species
ACUGGCAGGCUAGAGUCUUGUAGAGGGGGGUAGAAUUCCAGGUGUAGCGGUGAAAUGCGUAGAGAUCUGGAGGAAUACCGGUGGCGAAGGCGGCCCCCUGGACAAAGACUGACGCUCAGGUGCGAAAGCGUGGGGAGCAAACAGGAUUAGAUACCCUGGUAGUCCACGCCGUAAACGAUGUCGAUUUGGAGGUUGUGCCCUUGAGGCGUGGCUUCCGGAGCUAACGCGUUAAAUCGACCGCCUGGGGAGUACGGCCGCAAGGUUAAAACUCAAAUGAAUUGACGGGGGCCCGCACAAGCGGUGGAGCAUGUGGUUUAAUUCGAUGCAACGCGAAGAACCUUACCUGGUCUUGACAUCCACAGAACUUUCCAGAGAUGGAUUGGUGCCUUCGGGAACUGUGAGACAGGUGCUGCAUGGCUGUCGUCAGCUCGUGUUGUGAAAUGUUGGGUUAAGUCCCGCAACGAGCGCAACCCUUAUCCUUUGUUGCCAGCGGUC